UACGGAGGAUCCAAGCGUUAUCCGGAUUUAUUGGGUGUAAAGGGUGCGUAGGCGGCUUUAUAAGUCAGUGGUGAAAUCCCGGGGCUCAACCUCGGAACUGCCAUUGAUACUAUUAGCCUUGAAUUAUGUUGAGGUUGGCGGAAUAUAACAUGUAGCGGUGAAAUGCUUAGAUAUGUUAUGGAACACCGAUUGCGAAGGCAGCUGGCUAAACAUAUAUUGACGCUGAUGCACGAAAGUGUGGGUAGCGAACAGG
rnacentral:rRNA from 1 species